AUAAUAUUUCAUUGACGUACGUGAUUAACUCUACCAAUUAAACUACAUAUGGCAGCUCAUGCGUAUUGUGUAAUGAUCUGUUUCUAACUAACUUUUAAAAAUUUGGUCUAACAUACAGCUCAACAGUACUAACCCCUAGUGCUUGAACCCUCACAACACCAAUGUCCUAUAUUAUGCCAGCUAGGAAACUAGGCCAUAGAAAAUAAGUAAAAGGGGUGGCAAAAGAUGGUGCCAGCAGUCGCGGUUAUACCAAUACCCCAAGCUAAUUUCAGCAAAUCGGAGUAGCUUUCCAAUUAGGCUACAAAAUCAACUUUUAGCGUAAAAAACAAACUAUAACUAAACCCUUCCCAGCCCUAACUAACCUACUCCAACAAACCAUAAUCUCAGAACUCGGAUUAGAUACCCGACUACUGUAUGGCUCAACACACAAAAGAAUACUACGAGCGAAAGCUUAAACCUCAAACAAUGUGGCGGUGCUUUACUCCUCAUCAGGGGAUCCUGUGGCUUAAUUCGAUAAUCCACGAAAAUCUUAGCCAUUCUUGUACACAGCUUGUGUAUGGCCGUUUAUGCUUGCUCAUAGAAGAAACAAAAGGAAGCAAUAAGGUUAACAACCCAAAAAUUCAGGUAACAUACAGCCAAUGAGUAGCAGACCCAUGGGAUACAAAUAAACACACUAUCAAAUUUAGAACUUAAAACUUUAAUGAAGGAGGACUUGAAAGUAAGGUUUCAACUACACAAAACAAACCUGGACAAGAACUAAAGCGCGCACAAAUCGCCCGUCACUCCGACAAUAAAGUAGGAUAAGUCGUAACAUAGUAGGGGUAAUGGAAAUUGCCCCUAUUACA
rnacentral:rRNA from 1 species